UACGGGGGGGGCAAGCGUUGUUCGGAAUUACUGGGCGUAAAGGGCUUGUAGGUGGCCAACUAAGUCAGACGUGAAAUCCCUCGGCUUAACCGGGGAACUGCGUCUGAUACUGGAUGGCUUGAGUGUGGGAGAGGGAUGCGGAAUUCCAGGUGUAGCGGUGAAAUGCGUAGAUAUCUGGAGGAACACCGGUGGCGAAGGCGGUUCUCUGGGCAUUACCUGACGCUGAGGAGCGAAAGUGUGGGGAGCGAACAGG
rnacentral:rRNA from 1 species